rnacentral:rRNA from 1 species
AUUGAACGCUGGCGGCAGGCCUAACACAUGCAAGUCGAGCGAGCGGCGGACGGGUGUGUAAUGUAUGUGGAUCUGCCUGCUGGUGGGGGAUAACUACUGGAAACGGUACCUAAUAACGCAUACCAACUGGUGUAACCAUAUGGGAUUAGCUUGUAGGUAAGGUAACGGCGUACCUAGGCGACGAUCCCUAGCUGGUCUGAGAGGAUGAUCAGCCACACGUGGACUGAGACACGGCCCAGACUCCUACGGGAGGCAGCAGUGGGGAAUAUUGCACAAUGGGCGCAAGCCUGAUGCAGCCAUGCCGCGUGUAUGAAGAAGGCCUUCGGGUUGUAAAGUACUUUCAGCCGGGAGGCGUUACCGACAGAAGAAGCACCGGCUAACUCCGUGCCAGCAGCCGCGGUAAUAC